rnacentral:rRNA from 1 species
GCCUACGGGGGGCAGCAGUAGGGAAUCUUCCACAAUGGGCGAAAGCCUGAUGGAGCAACGCCGCGUGGGUGAAGAAGGUCUUCGGAUCGUAGAACCCUGUUGUUAGAGAAGAAAGUGCGUGAGAGUAACUGUUCACGUUUCGACGGUAUCUAACCAGAAAGCCACGGCUAACUACGUGCCAGCAGCCGCGGUAAUACGUAGGUGGCAAGCGUUAUCCGGAUUUAUUGGGCGUAAAGGGAACGCAGGCGGUCUUUUAAGUCUGAUGUGAAAGCCUUCGGCUUAACCGGAGGAGUGCAUUGGAAACU